UGGGGUUUCUCUUCCUGGUUGAUCACAUUGGACAUGGCAAGCAUGCAUACAUGCUCUGAAGGUUAUCCGUUGCCAUCUACUUGGGAAAAUGUUAAAGAGGCAAUGCCCUCCAGGUGGUGGCUGACCAUUGGCUGGAGCCUGAGGAGUGCCAGCUAUAAAUUGAGACCUGUCAAGACUGGCCCAGCCCCUCUCUUUCUGCUGUCUUCCUGCUCCCAAAAAAGCUGUGUCAUUGUCAGAGAUUUCUCCCAGCUCUGUUUUGAUACCAAGAAGAAGAAGAAGCUGGUUCAGAGAAGUGGGC